rnacentral:rRNA from 1 species
UACAGAGGUCUCAAGCGUUGUUCGGAUUCAUUGGGCGUAAAGGGUGCGUAGGCGGCGCGGUAAGUCGGGUGUGAAAUCUUGGAGCUUAACUCCGAAACUGCAUUCGAUACUGCGGUGCUUGAGGACUGGAGAGGAGACUGGAAUUCAUGGUGUAGCAGUGAAAUGCGUAGAUAUCGUAAGGAAGACCAGUGGCGAAAGGCGGGUCUCUGGACAGUUCCUGACGCUGAGGCACGAAGGCCAGGGGGAGCAAACGGG